AACACCUUAAUUCAAAUUCUGAAAAGUAGGUUGAGUUGCCCGAGGAGGAAGACAAAAAUGAAGGCUAGGACCUUUGUACUCAUCUUCAUUAUCAUUAGGAGUUUCAACAAUGACUUGCACAAAAGUUUGAAGAGCCUGUUCUAGGUUGAUCUCACAGUUGUCAGUAUUAACCAUCCAAGGAGAGUGAAUGGUCAUUCCCCAAGGAUGGGCAACAGAGUUUCCG
rnacentral:lncRNA from 1 species